rnacentral:rRNA from 1 species
CAGUCGCCGCGGGAAAACAGAGGGUGCAAGCGUUAAUCGGAAUUACUGGGCGUAAAGCGCGCGUAGGUGGUUUGUUAAGUUGGAUGUGAAAGCCCCGGGCUCAACCUGGGAACUGCAUCCAAAACUGGCAAGCUAGAGUACGGUAGAGGGUGGUGGAAUUUCCUGUGUAGCGGUGAAAUGCGUAGAUAUAGGAAGGAACACCAGUGGCGAAGGCGACCACCUGGACUGAUACUGACACUGAGGUGCGAAAGCGUGGGGAGCAAACAGGAUUAGAUACCCCAGUAGUCCCUGUCUCUUAUAA